GGGAGGUGCUAUGACUCAUACACCUUGGAUUGUUAGACCUAAAAAUCUACAUGCACAGAGAUUCUGAUGGGCUCAAGGUUAAUCCUCCCAGUUGGUGGCUGAGCCAGCCAAGAAUGCCAGCAUCCUGACACCCAGGAUGAAGUGAAAAUGAGCUUUUCUGAACAUGAGGGACUCUUAAGAAUGCAUAAUACUUCCAAGCUUUUUGUUCACACAGAAGUAAGUUUGCAAAGCAGUGGUGGAGGAUUCUCUGAAGAAGGGCAAACAGUCCCCAAGGGGGAGGAGUUGGUUGCUGCAGGAGCUCUGUUGCCAGCAAUUAUUAAUUCACUUCUGCUGGAUCUGUCCUGAGGGCCUCCCGUGCACAAUAACGUGAGGAGUGUUGGCAGCUUUGGAGGGAGAAAGACUGACUCGUCUCCGAGGGAGGAAGGUGGGACUCCUCACAAGGUUGCCCUCCUCCCAGCUCCCUCUUUCCUGAGAAACAACUUAUGCUUUCGGCCUGAACUCAGGCUGCUGAGGACGCAGUGUUCCAGGGAUGGUGGCAGAUCUUGGAGAAGGUUUAUUUUCUGAUUUCUUUAUGAUCCUGUCUGAUUUGCAAGGGCUGGAAUCUGCCUGUUAUAUUUAUGGAAGCAGACCAAGAAUUGAGGAUGGUUCCUGGCACAUAGGAAGUGCUCAGGAAAUUUUUGUUGAAUGAAUGAAUGAACAAAUAAUUAAGAAGGCUGCUAAACGCCAUCUUAAAUAGAUUUAAUACUGAGGUGAGUUGCAGGACUAAUUCAAUUUUGUCCUUCUAGUCUGAUCUUUUUCAGCCCAGUUUUGUUAUGUGUUUUGUUUUGUUUUUAACUCUGGAAGACUACAUGUAUCAAAUUGGAUUGAAGGUGUAUUUUCUAUGUCUAUGAAGAUUUGAGAUCUUGUGAAAAAGGCUUUCAAUCAAAUGAAGAGGAUUUUUAUUUGAAUAAUUACUGUUGAGUCCUCAUUCAGUCGUUUGGACAUUUUGAAUUGGAAACUAAGUGCAACCACACUGGGAGAAAUGCAACAAUGUCACCAUUGGCACUGACAAAAUAUUUGAUCAAAGUACUGGAAAAAAACAAAACCCAUUGAAUGUAUGGCACACCCAUCUGUGCUGCUGUGAGGCCAGAUGUUCUAGUUGUGGG
rnacentral:lncRNA from 1 species